UACGAAGGGGGCUAGCGUUGUUCGGAUUUACUGGGCGUAAAGCGCACGUAGGCGGUUUGUUAAGUCAGGGGUGAAAUCCCGGAGCUCAACUCCGGAACUGCCUUUGAUACUGGCAAGCUAGAGUCCGGAAGAGGUAAGUGGAACUCCUAGUGUAGAGGUGGAAUUCGUAGAUAUUAGGAAGAACACCGGUGGCGAAGGCGGUGGUCUGGGCCUGAACUGACGCUGAGGAGCGAAAGCCAGGGGAGCAAACGGG
rnacentral:rRNA from 1 species